CAUGCAAGUCGAGGGGCAGCAUGACACGGAGAUUCGUCGAAGUGUUGAUGGCGACCGGCGCAAGGGUGCGUAACGCGUGAGCAACUUGCCCGUUUCUGGGGGAUAACCGGUGGAAACGCCGACUAAUACCCCAUAGUAUUGGAUUUAGGCAUCUUUAUCCAAUUAAAGAAUUUCGGAAACGGAUAGGCUCGCGUGACAUUAGCUAGAUGGCGGGGUAACGGCCCACCAUGGCUACGAUGUCUAGGGGUUCUGAGAGGAAGGUCCCCCACACUGGAACUGAGACACGGUCCAGACUCCUACGGGAGGCAGCAGUGAGGAAUAUUGGUCAAUGGUCGGAAGACUGAACCAGCCAUGCCGCGUGAAGGUCACGGCCCUAUGGGUCUUAAACUUCUUUUGUAAGGGAGCAAUAAGGCGUACGUGUACGUCGAUGAGAGUACCUUACGAAUAAGCAUCGGCUAACUCCGUG
rnacentral:rRNA from 1 species